rnacentral:rRNA from 1 species
UGGGGAAUUUUGGACAAUGGGCGAAAGCCUGAUCCAGCAAUGCCGCGUGUGUGAAGAAGGCCUUCGGGUUGUAAAGCACUUUUGUCCGGAAAGAAAUCCUCUGGGUUAAUACCUCGGGGGGAUGACGGUACCGGAAGAAUAAGCACCGGCUAACUACGUGCCAGCAGCCGCGGUAAUACGUAGGGUGCAAGCGUUAAUCGGAAUUACUGGGCGUAAAGCGUGCGCAGGCGGUUUUGUAAGACGGAUGUGAAAUCCCCGGGCUUAACCUGGGAACUGCAUUCGUGACUGCAAGGCUAGAGUAUGGCAGAGGGGGGUAGAAUUCCACGUGUAGCAGUGAAAUGCGUAGAGAUGUGGAGGAAUACCGAUGGCGGAGGCAGCCCCCUGGGCCAAUACUGACGCUCAUGCACGAAAGCGUGGGGAGCAAACAGGAUUAGAUACCCUGGUAGUCCACGCCCUAAACGAUGUCAACUAGUUGUUGGGGAUUCAUUUCCUUAGUAACGUAGCUAACGCGUGAAGUUGACCGCCUGGGGAGUACGGUCGCAAGAUUAAAACUUAAUGAAUUGACGGGGUCAUAGCUGUUUCC